CCUCCCUUUCUUGGCAGGGUUGGGUUUUCCCGUACCCAGUUCUGUAAUGUGCGGAGGUAAAGAAAGUGACCCGGUGUCAUGUCUUCGGUGCCAGCAGCUUGCCCAUCUGCUGGUUCUAUCCUCAAGCACUGGGACAAAG